AUGUUUGCUUAGGUAGCAUAUAAACUAAAAUUGGAACCAUACAGAGACAAUUAGCAUAGCCCCUACACAAGAAUAACAUGCAAAUUUGUGAAGUGUUCCAUAUUUUC
ensembl:snRNA U6 U6 spliceosomal RNA